rnacentral:tRNA from 1 species
GGUGGCUUAAUGGUAGAGUGCUUGCCUUGUAUGCAUGAGUCCCUGGGUUUGAUUCCUCAGCACCA